GAUGAAGAACGUAGCGAAAUGCGAUACGUAGUGUGAAUUGCAGAAUUCAGUGAAUCAUCGAAUCUUUGAACGCACAUUGCACCUCUCGGUAUUCCGGGAGGUAUGCCUGUUCGAGCGUCAUUUGUACCCUCAAGCUCUGCUUGGUGUUGGGUGUUUGUUCCGCCUCUGUGUGUGAACUCGCCUCAAAACAAUUGGCAGCCGGCGUACUUGUUUCGGAGCGCAGCACAUUUUGCGAUCCAGAUCAACGUACAGCGGCAUCCAAGAAGCCUUAUUUAACGCUCUUGACCUCGGAUCAGGUAGGGAUACCCGCUGAACUUAAGCAUAUCAAUAAGCGGGA
rnacentral:misc_RNA from 1 species